rnacentral:rRNA from 1 species
GACGAACGCUGGCGGCGUGCUUAACACAUGCAAGUGGAGCGACGAACCGGGGCUUGCCCCGGGGCAGAGCCGCGAACGGGUGAGUAACACGUGGGUAACCUGCCUCAAUGAUUGGGACAACCCCGGGGAAACUCGGGCUAAUACCAAAUGUGUUCACUCCUUCUAAGGGGAGUGAGGAAAGGAAGCUUCGGCCUCCGCAUUGAGAUGGGCCCGCGGCCCAUUAGCUUGUUGGUGAGGUAACGGCUCACCAAGGCUUCGAUGGGUAGCUGGUCUGAGAGGACGAUCAGCCACACUGGGACUGAGACACGGCCCAGACUCCUACGGGAGGCAGCAGUGGGGAAUCUUGCACAAUGCGCGAAAGCGUGAUGCAGCAACGCCGCGUGGGGGAAGAC